GAUAUCUUACUUUCAGUCUCUUUCUGCAGAAUGAAAUUAAUACAAUUUUCACUAAGUAUAGAACAUAUUACCCAGAUUUAAAUGCGGUUCAAUGUGAGGUUUUAGAAAUUCCUGCACUAGAGAGGCCAUCUAAGAAGAGGAAAAGCACAGCCUCUGUGAAGGUGACAAAAGAUGUGGAGCCAUUGGGUGUUAUGCAGGAAUCAAAAAAAUCUAUGUAUGAACAAUUUUCUAUUGAUUUAACCUGAAUUCUUCCAAUCUUUGCAGACAUUUAUUUGUGCUGAAACAUUAUCCAGAAUCCUGAAUUGAUUUGCAUGAAAGAAAUGCCACUAAUGAAACUUUUUUAGAUGACCAACUACUAGAUGAUGAAACAAAUGAUGAUGCUGGUGAUGGUGAUCCUGUUGAUACUAAUGACAAUUUUGAUCCUGAAACAGGUCUAUGGAAGUAUAAGUGUGAGAGCAGCCAUCCAGCAGCAGCUAGAGAGAGUGAUAUGUUGAGGCGUAACAUCAUCAAACGUGACGGAUGGAAUGAUUUGACCUUAAGUAGGCAGGCUGAUGGUUCAUUGAAGGGUCCCAAUUUCUAUCCAGAUAUGCCAGACAAUACAUGCUGCUGUGGAUCUGGAUGGUUGAAGCGAGAUGAUGAUCCAGAUUACUCUGAAAAUGGGAAAUUGAUUCCUUUAGGUCGAGUUCUUACAGUUUACACACAGUUUGCGCCUGUGCAGUGUGAUGUUUACAAAAGAGUCUGUUACAACCCGAUAGACGACAGUCGCUGUGAACUUGCAUGGAAUGAAGGCCAGAGUGAAUCAAUUCAUGUUUUUAGUAGUAAAACUGCUGCAGGUGACGAAAUAGGAUGGGAGUUUACAUCAUCAGUAAUGAAAACUGGUUGCACUUUUUCAGCAUACUGUCAGAUGAAGGAUGAACUUUACAGAACUCGUGACCCAAAGGCCAAGUUUAUGGAUGCAACAGUUUUUUUAAAAUGGUGGUUUAGUUGGGCAGCUAAUAUGAACAUUGAUUUCAGACAACCAUGUGACAUUUGUAGGUAUGAGCCUAAUAGACUGUGCUGUGAUGGAACCAGAGUAGGCGUAGGUUUCCGUCAUUCAAAUUUCACAGAAAUAAGUACACCUGAUAGUUCUUUACAGACACAGCAAACAUUGCAUCGACGGAUGGACAGAUGUUACCUGAAGAAUAAGCCUGGAGUUGAAAAGAGACAGAUGAUUGCUUAUCGUGAAGCAUUGGAUAAUAUAGCCCGAACUACAGUUGCAGAAUUUGAACCGUUAGAUAUUCCAGAAAAUAAUGAUAGAAUUAAUUUACUUAUGCAGGCUCUACCUGAGGAGGCUCAUCAAUCAUUCCAGCGAUUUACUCGAGGGAUGUCAGAAUUUGAAAGAGUAGCUUAUGCAUCUGUCCUUAAGAUGUUGGCUACAACAGCAUCUGUGACAAGCAUUUUGUCACCAGAAUAUGCACUUUUCUUGCAGGAAUUUCUAACUAAUGAAAAUCUUUCAGAUUUUGAGUUUAACAGACAGAUGUAUGAGAUGAGAUCAUUUGCUCCAGAAAUACGGGACUUGAUUGCAGAAUCGAUGUUGAACAAUAACAACAUUCUACCUGAUGACAUUAAACUUUUUCUAGUUCAUCUUACUAAUGAGUCUCUAAACUUACCAGUUUAUGCCCCAGAGGAUGCUACUUUUCAAUUCGGAACAUACAACCCUGAGAAGCUGGGCCGGGCUUAUUACUUCAAUGAACAUGGUGUUAAACUGAGGAAUGUACGCAAAUUUCAGAUAGAUGAGGACCGAGCAGGCAGAAACAAUGACCAUGAUGAUGAAGCUAUGGACUUUGAGCGAUGCAGAAAGAUUUACUCAAAAAUACAACAAUCAGCACCCGGCACAUCUAACUUGUUUCUUUGGUUUUGUCCAGAUCACGGUCAUUGUUAUGGAUUCCACAUGACAGUGGCUGAAGGCAGAAAAGAUCCAUCAGCUUCAUUAUACUCUCAUCUAGCCAAACCUCCACAAGCAGUGUUUUAUGACUUUGCCUGUAACUUACAGGAAUAUUGCCUCAACAGAGAGAGUGGGUACUACAAGAAUGAUAGAUUUUUUCACGAUAUUUUUCAUGGUUAUUCACACAAAUGCUCUACUUCUUUUAGAAGCUCUCGACUUCAAGGAUUUGAAAGUGUGAACUCAGAAAUCUGCGAACAGUUCAACAGCUUCAUCCAGAUUCUGAAGAAAUCAGCAAGACAAAUGACACAAUCUCAUUUCUGUUUCUAUCUUCAGUUCUUUAUUCAUGAGUGGAACAGGAGAAAAAGAGUUGCUUACAAGAGGAAAAUCAGCACUGCACUAGCUGGGCUUUUAUGAAAUGUAUAACAACUUUGAUUUUCAGAGAGCUGUGCAUCAUAAAAUGAUCAAAUGAACUAUGUUUAAUUUAUAUUUCAUUCACCUCUUAUAUAUAUUUGUUUGACUUUCUCAUUUGCGUAUACUUUUGACUAGUAAUUAUCACUGCAUCUGCAAUUGUUUUCGGUUUCUGCUGUGUUUGUUAGUAUGUUUCAGUUUGAGCGAACAGACUCCAACUUUGGCUUCCAGCUUUGCUGUUGAGAAAGGUCAACAAGUUCCACCAGAAGUUCCACCAGAAAUACAUCACGUCUUUGAUUUUAAUGUUUGAGGCAGAUUUUCCACAGCGUCUUCAUCCAAUCUACUUGUGUCGGCAUGUGCAACUACUUAAUCUGAAGGCUUGGAGGGAAUUGUAGCUCAGUGCUUCAUCCUUUAUGUGGAUAAACAAAAGGGAACCAGAAGGAUCGAUCUAAAGACAUUCUUUUCAUAAAUCUGUUGGUGUCAAACAAUAUAAUUUUGAUUGAUCAGUCUUCUUAGUGCCUGUAGUGAACAGUAUGUAUUGUAUUAUAUGUAGUAUAAUAAUCAAUUAAGUGUUGAUAAAUGUCUUACAAUUAUCGUAUAACCCUUUAUAUCAAGUUUUGUUAUUUAAUUGUAGAACAGCAAAAGAAACAUUUGUGGAUUUUAAAAGAUAAGGCAGAGACUAUGUUUACACUGUAAAUGUUCAACUGGUGAAUUCCAUUAUUUGUUGCAAUAUCUAGAUUUUGAUAAUGUAAGGAAUGAUUUCUGAUUAAAGUAUUACAAUAGGAAUCCAAUCUCUGUUAUGCUUAAAGAUGCACUUUUACUCCCAAAUUAGAUAUUCCACAGUUUAUAUGAUUGUUUUUUAUAUAAAAAAAUAAGAUUCUUAUGAAGGAUACAGAGUUGAAUUUGAAAGAAGGUUGCAGGAAACAUAAAGAUCAUAAUCAAUCUUUUAGCACUCACCAAUCAUUUAAUAUUUUUAAUUUUAGGAAUUAAAUACACAGUUACAAUAUUGUUAUCAGGAAUCAAUAUUUUCCAUAAAUGCAUUAUUUAGUAAGUAGUUAAAGGUUUAUCAGUCGAAAUGUAUGUUUCAUACAUGUGUAUAUUUUGAUUUUGAAUAAGAGUCACUUGAAAGAUUUUAGCUAAAAAUGUUAGAAGAAGAAACUGAAAUUGCCCAAUUCUGUACAAAUAAUUAAGGUCAUACAUUCGCUUAUACACAUUUUAUCAAUGUGGAAUGUUAACUUAAAUUGUUUCUUAAGUAUGAUAUAACAAUCUAUAUUGCAUAAGUAAUUGAAGAUAUUGUUAAAUACCACUUGUAUGUGUACAUGCUGGGUACCCCUUGCACAUAAUGAAAGCUAGGUAUGAAUAAUAUACGAUUUUAAAAUAAUUGCAGUAAAAGACGGCAGUAAACUGAAUGGAAGCUGUACACACACUUAUAAGUACACCUUCACGUGCUGUUUCACAACAUCUCAUGUAACUACUGAGAACACAUGUUUACAGUACAUAUAUUACACUGUUUUAUUUGAACUCAUUUUAUAAAAAAACAUUUAAUUCCUGUUUUGUUAUUAUUUGUUAUAAAUCAAAUGCUUGAAGUCAUGUUUUAUGAUCUUAUAAUAAAAUUUUAUUACGGGU